AAGGCAACUGCUGGGUGGUUGCAUGUUAUUUUAUAAGAAACUGUCAAGCUAUUUUUUAGACUGGUUGUAUUAUUUUACACUCCCACCAGCAAU
rnacentral:pre_miRNA from 1 species